AAUUUUGGACAAUGGGCGCAAGCCUGAUCCAGCCAUGCCGCGUGUGUGAAGAAGGUCUUCGGAUUGUAAAUCACUCUAAGUUGGGAGGAAGGGCAGUAAGUUACUACCUUGCUGUUUUGACGUUACCGACAGAAUAAGCACCCGCUAACUUCGUGCCAGCACGCGCGGUAAUACGAAGGGUGCAAGCGUUAUUCGGAAUUACUGGGGGUAAAGCGCGCGUAGGUGGGUUGUCAAGUUGGAAGUGGAGGCCCCGGGCUCAACCUGGGAACUGCUUUCAAAACUGGCAAGCUAGAGUAUGGCAGAGGGUGGUGGAAUUUCCUGUGUAGCGGUGAAAUGCGUAGAUAUAGGAAGGAACAUCAGUGGCGAAGGCGACUACCUGGACUGAUACUGACACUGAGGUGCGAAAGCGUGGGGAGCAAACAGG
rnacentral:rRNA from 1 species